rnacentral:lncRNA from 1 species
GGGGACUCUUCUGAAGCUGUUGGAUGAAUAUAGAUUGUAGUGUGUGGUUCUCUUUUGAAAUUUUUUUCAGGUGACUUAAUGUAUCUUAAUAACUACUAUAGGAACAAAGGAAGUGGCUUUAAUGACCCUGAAGGAAUUUCUUCUGGUGAUAGCUUUUAUAUUAUCAAGUAAGAGAUACUAUCUCAGUUUUGUAUAAGCAAGUCUUUUUCCUAGUGUAGGAGAAAUGAUUUUCCUUGUGACUAAACAAGAUGUAAAGACAGGUUUCUCUUCAUAAGCAGAAGAGUUGCUUCAUUCCAUCUCGGAGCAGGAAACAGCAGACUGCUGUUGACAGAUAAGUGUAACUUGGAUCUGCAGUAUUGCAUGUUAGGGAUAGAUAAGUGCCUUUUUUCUCUUUUUCCAAAAAGACCUGUAGAGCUGUUGAAUGUUUGCAGCUGGCCCCUCUUAGGCAGUUCAGAAUUUUGAGUAGUUUUCCCAUCCAGCCUCUUAAAAAUUCCUAAGCCUUGCACCGAUGGGCUUUCAUGAUGGGAUAGCUAAUAGGCUUUUGCAUCGUAAACUUCAACACAAAAGCCUACAUGAUUAAUGCCUACUUUAAUUACAUUGCUUACAAGAUUAAGGAAUCUUUAUCUUGAAGACCCCAUGAAAGGGAUCAUUAUGUGCUGAAAAUUAGAUGUUCAUAUUGCUAAAAUUUAAAUGUGCUCCAAUGUACUUGUGCUUAAAAUCAUUAAAUUAUACAAAUUAAUAAAAUACUUCACUAGAGAAUGU